AAGUCUCUGAGGAGAGCUUGUGGUUGAAAGCCUGUUUUGUGACCCUGGCCCCUGGCCCCCAAUCCUGGGCUCUGCCUGGAUGACUCCUUGCCUGGCCCCAAGUUCAGGUACUCCAAAUGCCAGAGUUAAGUGACUUGCACAGUUUCCCAAUUUGGAAGCAAAAGAAAGGGGAUUUGGCCCUGAGACCAAUCUGAAGAAGGUUGGGAAAAAGUUAACAGGUUGAGGGCUCUGCUGGUGGUCUGGGUGGCCUGGUGCGGGAGCACUGUGGACAGAGCUGUGUCCAGAGGACUGGGAGAUGUCAUAGGUGGGAGAACAGCCACCCCAUGGAUCACUAGUCUAGGAGUGCUAAAGGCUUGCAGGAGGUGAGAGGAGGCCAUUCGUAAUCGGGAAUCAGGAAAGUAGGCUGGGGAGGGGGCACUGGGGCCAGAGAGAGCCUCGAGAAGUAGUAACAACAGUGCGUGUGAGUUCAGUGCUCAUGAUGGGCAAAGCGCCACUCCAAGGCCUUGGCUCAGAUGGACUUGCUGGAUCCUUCUGCCCAAGAAGGCUGGUCAUGUUAACCACAGACCCAUUUAGUGGGGUUGACCACUGAGGCUAGCUGUGAACCCCAACCAGUGUUUGCUUAGGACAGGAGAGUUGACAAAACACAUUCAUACCUCAUAAUCUUAGGCGGUUGUCCCACGGCCUGGUGAUUUCACCAAGGAGAAAAGCAGGCUCCAAAGUGAAAGCUGGAGACACUGCCUGUUGAAGCAGCCCAUCUACUUCUUGGAGGCUGCGGCUUCAGUUAUGGGCAUCUUCCUGCCAAGCGGACAGGCUCAGAGUGGGGCGAGGGACCUGUCCAAGGUGGCACCACUAACCUGUCCGUGGUGGGAAUUGGGGUAAGGAAAGAGAAGGGAGACUUCGCCAUGGAAACACCUAAAGAAGGUGUCCUCCUCCCCCACAGUCCCUGGGACUGUUUUGUCCUUGUGUCUGAGACGUUGAUUUGUCCAGUUACUUUUUUUCCAUUUAUUUGACAAGCAUUUAGUGAGCACCUGCAGGGUGCAAGGCCCUAUGCUGGGUGCUGGGGACAUGGUGAUGAAGACAGAGGUGACAAUUUAUGGGGAGAGGUAGACACUAAGUGUCCAGUAACUAGAAGAGGGUAAUGACAGGUGGCGUCAAGGGCUCUGAAGGAGGGAAAGUGGGGCAGGGAGGGACUGAGAGGUCCAGGAAGGCCCCUCCUAGGAGGUGGCAUCUGAGCAGACACCGGAGCCAGGUGUGGAGUGAGGGGGACGGGCCCUGGUUUAUCGGGCAUGUGCACACUAUGCUGGCUGUUACCAUGUUUUGUAUGGCUUCUCUUCUUAUAGUAACCCAAUGACUUGAGUGCUGUUUAUCAUCCUACUUCCCCAGUUGGGGAAACUGAGGCACAGGCGAAGUCACUGCCCCAACACCUGAUGAGUGACUUGUGUGAGAUUCAAAUUCAUAACUUGAAUUCACAUCUGAGAAGCCUUCUCUUCCUGUCUCUGCCUAUGGCCCCACUUUUCUCAUUUGCUCUGUUUUCCUGUCAUGUCCCUCUUCCCCAUCCUUUGCUGGCCUGGCUGACCUUCUGGGUGACCCCUGAGGGAGUCCCAGCAGCUCCAGUUAUCCAUUUGGCUGCUCCUCCUUGGAGGUUUUCAACCUUGUAUUGGCUGUGGCCAUAUGCAGGGGAGACUGGGGGAUGCUGGAGAGACUGGAGCUUCUGGGGCCCCUGCCUGUCAGUUUGAGCCACUCCUGGGUGUCCUUGAGGCCAAGAGGUAGGAGUCCCAUUUUCCAGAGUGGGGACCUGAGGCUCUGGGAGGGAACAUUAUUUCCCCAGAAAACAGAAUAGAUAUUAGAAUCCAUGCCUGUGUGAGCCCCGUUUAGCUAUCUUGUCUGCUUGUCAACUGCAUUCUAUGGGGGGCAGAUGGGAAAACCUCAAUUUUACAGGCUUUGACGAGUGGGUAAGAUGCUCGGGCCAAGAAAAAAAAUUUUUUUUUAAAAAAGCUCCGAACUCUUGUCCCUUACUUGCCAAAUGACUUUGGGCAAGAUACCUAACCUCUUUGGGCCCGGAUGUAUAUUCACGCAUUCAGGUAUUCAGUCGGUAUCAAGCAAGCACUUAUUGUGGGCCUGGGCCGGUCCCUGGGCUCCUGGAGUUGAUACUCUAGCAUGGGAGAAAGAAGAAAAUGAAGGGGGACAGUGGUCGAGGGUGACAAGGGGAGGGUGUUCCGAGAGUGUUCCAGGCAGAAGGAGCAGCAAGUGCAAAGACCCUGAGGCAGGACGGAUCUCAGUGUGUCAGGGGAAGAGCGGGGAGCUGGCAUGGCUAGAGGGGAGGCAGCCAGGUGUGACAUGGACAGAGGACAACAGGGAUGGCAGGAUCCUCCCUGAAGAGUGUGGAGGCCACGGUGAGGUCGAGGGAGGCGGUUUUGAGGAGGAAUGAGUGGGUGUCCCUGGCACCUGGAAAGCCCUUGACAAGUUUGUUGAUGGGAUGGAACAGGCCCCUCGGCCUCAGGAGGAGGCAAAGAGCAGUGGGUGAAGGGCACAGGGAGGCCGCCUGCCCGGGCCCAGGAGAUCUCGUGGGUGAGGAGCCUCUGACCUAGGGCCUGGAGCCACAGAGAACUAACUGUUCACCAGGCAGGAAUGAGGGGAAGAGCAUGCCAGGAGGGGGUACUGGAGGAGCAAAGGCUGGGAGCCAAGAGGAGGAGAGUUCCUUGGGAAGCUGUGACUGCAGAGGAGAGGGCACCGGUGCUGGAGAAUAGGGAGAAGAAGGCCAGGCUGGAGAGGGAAUUGGGGCCCAGCCUCCCUGAGGCCUCUGGGGUGAAGAGGGUUGUGGGGUAGGCAGGAGGCCGGACCCCAGGAGAGGCGUUUUCUUUUUAUUUGACUUCCCAAGCAAUGCAUGAUCCUGGUGAGAAGGUUGGAAAAUGCAGAGCAUAAAUAAAAGAAGGAAAUAGAAAGCACCCAUAAUCCCACUGCCCGGAAAUAAACCCCAUUAAUGCUUGCUCUGUGGCCUGGGACAAAGCCACUUCACCUGUCUGUGCCUCAAUUUCUGUGCUCACAAAAUGGAAUAAUAAGAGUACCUGUCUCAUAAGGUGGUGAGGAUCGCAUGCGUCAAUCCAUGCAACGUGUUUAGAGCAGUGCAGCACACCAUAUGAUGGCUGGAGCUUCAGGGGCCAUCUUGAAGCACAUGGCAAGCAUUAAAGCAUGGAAGCCACCUCCUGAGGGUGAUGAAACCGGAAGAUAAAAGGCACUUGGGUUCCCGAUGGUAGUGCAACAGCCACACCGCUCUUUGCCUGCCUUGCUUUGGACUUGUUUAUGUGUUAUAAAAAAUAAAAAUAAAAAAAAAAUCUUAUAAAGG